UCCAUCGCGAGGUGGAAUCUGAAGGAAGUCGGCGGCAAACCUCCGGUCUGAGGAAUACGAACCUCAUAUAAGGCUAGCAUUCGUUGGAUGAGCUUGCCGAACAAAGUGAAAUCCUUACUGCCGAAGGCGAAUGUGAGUAAAUGAGGCAGAUGGAUGGAGGGAAAGAUAGCGCU
rnacentral:ncRNA from 1 species